rnacentral:rRNA from 1 species
AUCAACGCUGGCGGCGUGCCUAACACAUGCAAGUCGAACGCGAGAGGGCUUCGGCCCGAUUGAGUGGCGAACGGGUGAGUAACACGUGGGUGACCUACCUUCGAGUGGGGGAUAACGUCCCGAAAGGGACGCUAAUACCGCGAUAACAUUCCGCUUUUGAACAAGUGGAAAUCAAAGCCGGGGAUCGUAAGACCUGGCGCUUGAAGAGGGGCCCGCGUCCGAUUAGCUAGUUGGUGAGGUAACGGCUCACCAAGGCGACGAUCGGUAGCCGGCCUGAGA